rnacentral:rRNA from 1 species
GACGAACGCUGGCGGCGUGCUUAACACAUGCAAGUCGAACGGAAAGGCCCUGCUUUUGUGGGGUGCUCGGGUGGCGAACGGGUGAGUAACACGUGAGUAACCUGCCCUUGACUUUGGGAUAACUUCUGGAAACUGGGGCUAAUACCGGAUAGGAGCUCCUGCUGCAUGGUGGGGGUUGGAAAGUUUCGGCGGUUGGGGAUGGACUCGCGGCUUAUCAGCUUGUUGGUGGGGUAGUGGCUUACCAAGGCUUUGACGGGUAGCCGGCCUGAGAGGGUGACCGGCCACAUUGGGACUGAGAUACGGCCCAGACUCCUACGGGAGGCAGCAGUGGGGAAUAUUGCACAAUGGGCGGAAGCCUGAUGCAGCAACGCCGCGUGCGGGAUGACGGCCUUCGGGUUGUAAACCGCUUUCGCCUGUGACGAAGCGUGAGUGACGGUAAUGGGUAAAGAAGCACCGGCUAACUACGUG